UUGUGUUCAGAUUUUCCCUGCCUGCAACCUCACCCUGUUCUCUUCUGUUCCACAGAAAUGCUUGAAAUAUCUGCUAGAGAUCACUCAGUGGCUUGCUUUCCAUUUCUUGAUGCACUUUCACUUUGCACAGAGUACACAUCAGGAGCUGAGACAGAGGUUUACCUUCCCCCAGAUGCUUCCUCAAGGUCACUGCUGGGGAGAGACAGAAGCUCAGAGUGCUGUGUCUUUCUGUCCUGCUUAUUGGGUCAAGUACAAACACCAGCACAUCUGGGGAAUGAAGGAGAUUCUGCAAGCUUGUGGCUUCUGCUGCAUCAUGAAAUUAACAGCUUUCAGCAGUUCAAGAGAAGCUCAUAAGAAGGCAAGGGUGACUCCUCUCCACCUCUGCAGAUCCCGCCCAACACUUAUUCCACAUCCUUCAGAAGAAGGGCUGGUCUGCACACUGGAUUAAUUUCUUCAGUACAAACAACCAGAUGAAGAAUUCGAAGGAAUGUGCGAGAACAUAAGUGGGAAGCUAAUGAGUGAGCAGGGUGGUAUUACCAUGCCCCAAAGUGAGCGUUAUCUAUGCACUAUGAAAGAAGCUAAAAAUGAUACCUGUCAACUAUGGAACGUUUGCUGUUUGAAGGAAUAAGAUAUUAAAUAGCUUCAUAAAAUGCCAGAAGAGAUGAGUAAUUAUUCAGUGAGGCACCCAGACCAGAUUAAUUACAGCUUGGGAAGAGAAAUCUUGAUAGGGAUGUUUCUGUAAGAUGGCAGAAAUCUUCAUGUUCUAGUAACCAACAGAAUAAUAAUAAUAUAAAUAAAACCCGUCACAGUAAGAAUAAAAAAAACAGUAAGCAAGCAAACUCCCCCCAAACCUCACAUGGCAGGAACCAUUACUUCAUGAAGAAGGAUCCAAGAACUAUUUAUCAGUCUCUGUCUUUCUGCUCUAAGCCAGAACAUCCAGCUCAUAUAUUUUAGGGUAAUUCCCAAAGUAUUUUUAGUAGAAUAUUGAGUAUUACCCUUGCCCUUAAAAUA